rnacentral:rRNA from 1 species
UACGGGGGAGCAAGCGUUGUUCGGAAUUACUGGGCGUAAAGGCUCGUAGGCGGCCAACUAAGUCGGAUGUGAAAUCCCCAGGCUCAACUUGGGAACUGCAUCCGAUACUGGAUGGCUUGAAUUCGGGAGAGGGAUGCAGAAUUCCAGGUGUAGCGGUGAAAUGCGUAGAUAUCUGGAGGAAUACCGGUGGCGAAGGCGGCAUCCUGGACCGACAUUGACGCUGAUGAGCGAAAGCUAGGGGAGCAAACGGGG